rnacentral:lncRNA from 1 species
GUUUUGUCUCCUCAGUUACUAAUGAAUAAGACUUUUGGAAACUUGAGAAAGCCCACUCUAAUCCAUAUCCUUAAAAUUGCUUUUUAAUGAUCUUUCAGUGUUUUGAAAAUGGGACUAAAGAAGAAAGGAGAUGUUAAGGAAAGGUCAAGGUACAGCUAAAAGAGAAUAUAGCAAUCAUAUACUGAAAAAAGAGAAACUAGAAUCUUUCUAAACAGUGUUGGACCGUUGACUUCUGUGGUUAUUCUGAAGUUUUCUAUCUCUUCCAUAUUUUUCUGUCUUUCCUGAGUCUCAUGCCUCUGCCAGGAAUCUGACAGUACUCUGCCUGAUUUGAAACACAUGAAUUUCAUCUCAAAGUUCUCAUAUUUAGUAAACGUUGGUACUGGGAUGGUGACAAUCUAGGUUUAUACACCCUAUAUUAAUCUACCGUGAAUGCUUGUGAAUAUUUUCAGAGUUUAUGGAUUUCAGAGUUCUAGUCCAAACAUGUUUUAGUUUCAUAGAAGCCAUUUAAAUAUCAGUAAAGGUCCUGAUGAGGAGUAAAGUGAAGCUGCAGACUCAAAGACCAAGUCCAUGGUGAUAAGAGGGAAGUGGUGGAGUGUCUAAGGGAAAAUACUAACCAGGGUAGAGUUUACAGCUAGAAGGUUGUUUAAUCAUUUUCCAAAGCAUGCUAUGCAAAUGUUAACAGUGUGUCAGAAAAUAAGUCUGGGAAAGCCAAAUUUAAAGGUUCCUGUAGAGAGGACUUUGGGAGCCUCUACUAAACUAAAUGCAUUACAAGUCUACCUGACAUUGCUUGGAAAAUUCCAAACUUAUUUAACCAAAAACACUCUUUAUUUGGAAUAUCCUUAGAGAAAUACUGAUGACAUUAAAUGCCUUUGUUUUACAGUUUCAUCCCCUCACAUAAUGCCUUCCUCUUACAAGUCAGUGCUCCUGCCCUACACAACCUCAUUCUAAACCAGUGACAGUCAGAACUAGUGCCUGAUUACCAAGCUGUGUUUUAUACCAGACUACCUGUUUCCCCUAAUAAGGAAUUCCUAAAGGGCAGAAGCUGCCUCUCAUAGUUUAUUGUCCCAUCUGUCUUAUCUCACACACAGACCUCUUGCAUAACCUGAUGUUUUGCUUGCAACGAACUAUUAGUAAAAAUGUCUGUAGACUUCAGUUUUCCAGUUGGCCUCCCUUGUUCCUCCCAGGCCCUCAUGAAAGAGUCCUGCAAGGUAACUACAAACUUAAUGUCUCACAUUCAGAACACCCUGGAAGGAAAAAAAAGAAAUGCAAAACAAAAAGGAUAUAACAAAAUAUCCAGGAAAGAUUUUAUUAGUUUUCCAUUUCAAUGACAAUGCAAAUUUAGUGUUAAAUAAUGUUUAAGAGUUGCAGUGUUAAAUAAUGUUUCUAUCCCUUUCAUUGCUUCCCAUAGUGUUUACAUGUUGAUUAUCAAUCAUGACACUCCUAAAAUUUCCAACAUAAUCUGGGCACUGUGGUGCACUCCUGUAAUCCCAGCAAUUUGGGAGGCUGAGGCGGGAGGAUUUCAAGUUCCAGGUCAGCCUGCCAACUUAGAUCUUAUCUCAGAAUAAAAAUAAUGAUAAUAAAAAAGGUUGAGGAUAUAGUUUAAUGGUGGAGCACCCCUUGGUUUAAUCCUUAGUACCACCAAAAAUGAGACUGUUACAACAUAGUUUAACUCAUGGAAAUAUAAAAAUUUAGGUGCUGUACUUUUUGGAGACUAGAAGAGCUUUUGCUAAUCUCUGUGUAUGUGUGGUGAGUGUGUGUGUGUUCCCACUAAUAGUUCUUGGCAGACUGUUAGCAUGAACUCUUCCUCUGCCUUUGUGUUUGAAUAGGGGUGGGUACAUGCUCAGUAUUGUGUGUCACCUUAUGGUUUUUCAUUUAUAGGUAACAGAGUGCAGCUUACUUCCUCCCCACCCUACAGUACUCAGGAUAUGUUGGGAAAUAUUCCUUAGAAAGAUUAUAUCUGUCCUUCUGGUUGGAGUACGAUGGAAAAAAAUGUAUUCAUCUCUGGGUGUCCAUGGGAAUUGUUUCCAAGACCCCAUGCAGAUAUCAAAAUCUGCAGUUGCUGUAGUUCCUUAUAUAAAACGGCAUAGUUUUUGCAUAUAACUUAUGCUUGUGCAUCUCUAAAUUACUUUUAAUUUCUA